AACGAACGCUGGCGGCAGGCCUAAUACAUGCAAGUCGAGCGGACAUUUCGGGGUCAGCGGCCGACGGGUUAGUAACGCGACGGAAUAUUAACUCGUCUAUGGACUACUUUUGGGAAACGGAGGGCAUUACCGAACACGCGCUAUGGGGGAAUGAUUUAUUGGGGCAGUAUUGACACGAGUUGGAUUAGGUAGUUGGUGAGGUAAUGGACUACCAAGCCGACGAUACAUAGCUGGUUUGGGAGGAUGAUCAGCCACACUUGGAGUGGGACACGGCCCAGACUCCUCCGGAAGGCAGCAAUGGGGAAUGUUAGACCAUGGGGGCAACCAUGAUCUAGCCAUGCCGCGUGAAUGAUGAUGGCCUUAGGGUUGUAAAGCUCUUUCAGCUGGGAAGAUAAUGACGGUACCAACAGAAGAAGCCCCGGCUAACUCCGUG
rnacentral:rRNA from 1 species